UGACCAAAUUUUGAAGUUAUUUAUAACAAGAAAUUUUUUUAAACGGCUGCAAUUAAUAAUUGUGCUAAGGUAGCGUAAUCAUUUGCCCCCUAAUUAGGGGAAGGUAUGAAUGGUUUGACGUGGGAAAAACUGUCUCUUUUGCAUAUGAAGAAGUUUAUUUUUGAGUGAAAAAGCUUAGAUGGUUUUAAAAGACGAGAAGACCCUAUCGAACUUGAAUUAGGUAUUCAAAUUUUUUAAGUAUUUAAAGUUUAGUUGGGGAAACUUAAAGUAAAAAAAAACGCUUUAUUUUUUUGUAAUGAUCCUGUAGUAUGGAAAAACGAAAAAGUUACCGUAGGGAUAACAGCGCUUUCUUCUCUGAGAGGACUAAUUAAAGAGUUGGUUGCGACCUCGA
rnacentral:rRNA from 1 species